rnacentral:rRNA from 1 species
UACGUAGGGUGCAAGCGUUAAUCGGAAUUACUGGGCGUAAAGCGUGCGCAGGCGGGUUUGUAAGUUUGGCGUGAAAUCCCCGGGCUUAACCUGGGAAUUGCGAUGAAGACUGCAAGGCUAGAAUCUGGCAGAGGGGGGUAGAAUUCCACGUGUAGCAGUGAAAUGCGUAGAGAUGUGGAGGAACACCGAUGGCGAAGGCAGCCCCCUGGGUCAAGAUUGACGCUCAUGCACGAAAGCGUGGGGAGCAAACAGG